rnacentral:rRNA from 1 species
GUCGGGAGUCUUGCACAAUGGGGGAAACCCUGAUGCAGCGACGUCGCGUGUGGGAUGAAGUAUUUCGGUAUGUAAACCACUUUUGCGGGGGGCGAAAAAAAUGACGGUACCCCGCGAAUAAGCCCCGGCUAACUACGUGCCAGCAGCCGCGGGAAUACGUAGGGGGCGAGCGUUGCUCGGAUUGACUGGGCGUAAAGCGCGCGUAGGCGGUCCAUUAAGUGUGCGGUGAAAUUCGGAGGCUCAACCUCCGUCCCGCCGCGCAAACUGAUGGUCUUGAGAUUGGGAGGGGGAUGCGGAAUUCCUGGUGUAGCGGUGAAAUGCGUAGAUAUCAGGAAGAACACCGGUGGCGAAGGCGGCUUGCUGGACAGUAACUGACGUUGAGGCUCGAAAGCGUGGGGAGCAAACAGGAUUAGAAACCCUGGUAGUCC